CGUAUAUUUCAAGCUCUUUACGAAUGUCAAUCAAGGAUUGUACAGCAGUGGUAUCAAGAUUAUUAACGGCUGAAAAGUCAAAGAUAAUGGCUUGAAGAAGAGGCCUUAAAUCUUCUAUUUCUGAGUUUUCUUUCUUUUUACGUUGACGAGGAACAUUCCAAGGACGAUCAAUGUCUUUCACAUAGAUGUUAUCUAUGCCACGACGAGUGAGGUCUUUGAUCCUUCUGGAAAUCAUAGUUGAAACACGGCUUGCAUUUGGAUAAGUAAAACUUUCCUGCAAUCUGAAUAUGAAUACACCAGGAGGAGGGCUUUGAAUUUCUAAGUUUGGAUUUUCCUCUUUCAUCUCUAAAGGAACAUAUAUAUCUCGAACAUUAGCAAUAUUAUCGGAACCGUAUUUAUUUGCUGCCUGUAUUUUUCCUAAAAAUGAUCCAUGAGGCUUUGCAAUACGUAACAGUAACAAGGCUGCAGCCAAACAAACAGAAACGUAAAUUCCAUUUUCGAUACUA